GACGAACCGUGCGAACGUUGUUCGGAAUCACUGGGCUUAAAGGGCGCGUAGGCGGGUUUUCAAGUCUGUGGUGAAAGCCUCCAGCUUAACUGGAGAAGUGCCGUGGAUACUGGAGACCUCGAGGAGGGUAGGGGCAUCUGGAACAGCCGGUGGAGCGGUGAAAUGCGUUGAUAUCGGGAGGAACACCGGUGGCGAAGGCGGCGACCUGGGUAGAUACGUGACGCUGAGGUGCGAAAGCGUGGGGAGCAA
rnacentral:rRNA from 1 species